GAUGGACGCUGGCGGCGUGCCUAAUACAUGCAAGUCGAGCGAACGGACGAGAAGCUUGCUUCUCUGAUGUUAGCGGCGGACGGGUGAGUAACACGUGGAUAACCUACCUAUAAGACUGGGAUAACUUCGGGAAACCGUAGCUAAUACCGGAUAAUAUUUUGAACCGCAUGGUUCAAAAGUGAAAGACGGUCUUGCUGUCACUUAUAGAUGGAUCCGCGCUGCAUUAGCUAGUUGGUAAGGUAACGGCUUACCAAGGCAACGAUGCAUAGCCGACCUGAGAGGGUGAUCGGCCACACUGGAACUGAGACACGGUCCAGACUCCUACGGGAGGCAGCAGUAGGGAAUCUUCCGCAAUGGGCGAAAGCCUGACGGAGCAACGCCGCGUGAGUGAUGAAGGUCUUCGGAUCGUAAAACUCUGUUAUUAGGGAAGAACAUAUGUGUAAGUAACUGUGAACAUCUUGACGGUACCUAAUCAGAAAGCCACGGCUAACUACGUG
rnacentral:rRNA from 1 species